rnacentral:rRNA from 1 species
UACGUAGGGGGCUAGCGUUGUCCGGAAUCAUUGGGCGUAAAGCGCGUGUAGGCGGUCCGGUAAGUCGGUUGUGAAAGUCCAGGGCUCAACCCUGGGAUGCCGAUCGAUACUGCCGGACUAGAGUCCGGAAGAGGCGAGUGGAAUUCCCGGUGUAGCGGUGAAAUGCGCAGAUAUCAGGAGGAACACCAAUUGCGAAGGCAGCUCGCUGGGACGUUACUGACGCUGAGACGCGAAAGCGUGGGGAGCAAACAGG